rnacentral:lncRNA from 1 species
AAACACGAGGUCUCAGUAAAAGCAAACAAUAGGCUUGUAGCAAUAUGUCCACAACUUAUUAAUUCAUGCAGUUACCACCCAGGAAAAAAGAGAAUUAAAGAAGAGUUCAUUAACAAGCAUGAAACUGGAUCCUUAAUGAAAAACAGGGUAUCUUUAACAGACAUUGUAAAUGCUAAACAUAAAAAAGAUGAAGUUGACU